UCAAUUUAAUCUUGUAAAAUGAAGGGAAUUUCAGUUUCCUUCCUCAAUUUCCCUCAACAAAAGACCACUUUGGGGGCUUUUGCACAUCUUUUUCAUCUGUGAAGGUCCCUUCAAAUGGCAGCUCCUCCUCGAUGGAACUCUUACAGUGGCACAUCAAGAGGGUCCUCUCAAGGGAAGCCCUUUCAGACCAGGGACAGCCGUGUUUGCUCUCGGUUUGAGCCUGGAGAUGAUGAAAAUGGGGCUAUUUCCCUCAAUUCCAACAGCACCAUAAAGGCUUUCUCCUUCCAAUUCAACAUGAAAAUCAUGGAAACCGAGGUGCCACCAAGGGAGGCACUACCAAGGGACGCAACCAAAAUGAUGAAAAAGGUGUGUUUUCCUUCAAUUCAGACCCUUAAAAUCACAGGUGAAUGGGGAUCCUCCCCAUUUCAAACACAAUUACAGAAAAGCUUUCCCCCCUCCAUUUCAAUCCCAUUUUUGGGGCACUGGGGAGGGACUGGGGGCACUUCCCCCUCCUCACUGCUCACCCCUGGGCUGCUGCCCCUCGCACAGCGCUGAGCAGUUCCCUCCCAGUUCCCUGCCAGUUUCCCUCUUCCUGGCAAGCCCCGGCAGGGAUGGGGAGAGCACUGGGCAGGAGCUGGGAGCGCUGUUCCUUCCCAGGGCCCCUGAUGUCACUCCCAGUGCUCCUUCUAGCUAAUUGGGGAGGCAGGUUUUGCCAGGAAAGCCUGUAGGUUGCCAAGUAAGUGUCCUCUUUACAGAGUCUCUGGUUCGAGUGGUAAGAUUGAGAUCAAGUAGGAAAUCCGCAAAGAGGAGGAAAUACAAAAAUGUCAAACACAAGCCUUGUGUGUGCUUUGUUUUCCUCCUCCCUUUUACCAUUUCCUGCCUUCCUGUCCCAUUCUCUGUGGGUCCUGAUGUUGAGCUGGAGCAAUGUGAGAGCUGCCCCUCAGCAUUCAGAGGCAGCUAUUCCGUGGCUGUUCAGCUGUACAGCGCUGUUACUCCCAUGUGAGCCCACGCUGCCCUUUCCCUGCCCCUGCAGCAGCCCCAGCA
rnacentral:lncRNA from 1 species